UUCACAUUGGUAACUGGGCCCAAGGGCAGCAGCAGCAUUCCCUAAGGAAUGGGGCCGGUCUGCAGUCACAGACACACCUGCUGUUCUGGGCAGGAAUUCACCCCCCUUUCCCUCUGUCCCUUAAGUCCAUGAAGGGACAAUCGGCUGGGGAGAGGACAAGGAUGUGUGCCCUGUCUGUCUGUCGGGCCUAUCUCAGGGAAGUCAGGGUGCAAUGCCAGUCUGUCUCACGUUCCCUAACACUCCUCAAACUACUUGUCUCCUCCUGAGAGGAGCUGUCACUAGAUGGAGGAGCCUCUCUGCCAGGGUGAUCUCCCGCUGUCAUCAGAGCAGGGCUCACCCUGCAGUUGGGUGCUCUCCCAGAGCCCUGCCAGGGUGGCUGCCUCAGUCAUGGUGGGUGUGGAGCUCACAGAGGUCCUGCCUUUCUGCCCUGUGGACACCAUUGCUCCCUGAUAGAGCUGACAGCGCCUUUCUUGCAUGCAUUUUGUUAGGAACUGCCGGCCAAACAGCCAGGCUAUGCCCUGAUGGCUGUGCUGUGCCCUGUUUUCCCACCUUGCUGGUGUCACUCCUGGUUGCCGGCACUCCCUAAGGCCUCAUUUCCUAGGUGUGGAGGCUUGGCCACCAUUGCCACUGGUCCCAGCUGGCUUCUGUCAACCAAAGCCUCAUGAUCUGUGGGCUUCCAGCAGCUCUGCAGUCUCCUCCUGGGUUUCCCUCAGGUCAGGAAACUCUGUUAUACAUUGCACCAGAGUGUUCUGCUGCCAGUCCUGCCGGGGCCAGAGCUGCUCACUUCAGCAACCUCAGGAAUACCAAGUGAAAGUCAUGUGCUGACAGAGGAGAUAAUAAAAGGGACAUUUUUUCCAAAGAAACCAUCACACAAGCAUCAAACAGCAAAGCAAGAAAACCCAAAAAGAUAACCCUCCCAGGAAAGCUGGAUCUGGUACUUCAGAGCAGCAAUGGCACAUUUUAAAGGAGUCAGUCCUAGAAAAAAUAGCAUGAGUGAACAGAUUCUAAGUACUGAUGAAUUUCGCAAUACCACUGACAUCUCAGGAGAAACUCAGUAAUUUAAGAAACUAGAAAGGCCUGAUUUAAUUUAAAAUUGUUAAUGAAGUAAAUAUGAUGGUUACAGAUAUUUGUGAUAGGAUGUCAUUUGCCUAUAUUUUAUAGCUUUGUUUGGUUUUUGGUUUUUUUUUCUUUUACCUAGGACAGUAAAGCAGAACAAAUGCUGGAGUUGCACCUUUCAAUGGAAAACACAGGCAUUGCUUUAUACCACCUUAGACACUUAAAAUCAGGAUCAAAAUCUAAGCAGAAAAACAGGAUCCAUUUCUGUCAAGUGGAGAAAAACAGACAUCUUCAUAGGAUGCUUUUCCACACCUCAAGCCAGGAAUCUAAACUGGGAAAAUUUUUUUCCCUUCUCUCUCUCUCUCUCUCUCUCUCUCUCUCUCUCUCUCUCUCUCUCUCUCUCUCUGUGUGUCUGUCUCACCAUGGGCUGUACAGGGAACACAGAUGGGAAGUCUGGCUUAAGUGUCUUACUGUGUGACAUUUAGAAUCAGGGGCUCUGAUUCCUGUCCCCAGCCUCAAGGAUGAUGCUUGACUAACAGUAUCCCUAGGAGACAGCUGUUUUCCAUGACCUUUUCAGGGACCUUAGGCCAGGCCUUCAAUAAGAAAGCUUUUUAUCACUUCACCAAGGACUCCUACAUGCUACAGGAGUCUGCUCUAUCACCCUUUUGCGACAUUGGAUCGAUUUCCCUGAAAGUCUCUACUACAGCUAGUUUCAAGGUCCCAAGUUAAUUUUUCGUGGUAUUUUUAUUUCCACACCCCUUUGAGUCCUCCUUUGCAGCAAACCAAAACCCAGGGAACAAACCCAGGGACAGGACAUCUGCAUUUCCCUUGGGUUUCAUCUGUUCCCUCAUGCAUGGGGCUAUUGGCUACAACUCUGUGCAUAUAAGAUCAGGUUGCUUUGCAUAGUGUCUAGCUCAGCAUUAACACUCAGGUCUGCAGCUUUUUCCACGUCCUCCGAAAUGUUAACACCGGGGCACUCUCGAAAGGCAACUGGGUGGCUGCUGGGGCUGGAGGCAAUGCCUGGGCUUCUGCAUCCCAUUUUGAAUCAGGCCCAUGGUAGAUAGCAAACAAGCAUUGCUACCAUCUGAUGGUUGCUUGGGGAAGUGAGUUUAGAUGCUGCAAAUGUUCGUCUCGGAUAAAAAACACCACUCCCCGUUGCAUCAAGGAGCACUGUGCUGGCAGCCUCCUGUCUUGCAACAGGAGACAUUCACAGACUUAUGUUUUAUUUCUAGCUCCUCUCACAUGACUCUGAGGAAAACAGGCAGCAUAGAUGAGUAGAACUGAAAACUGAAGUCUUUUAUAUAAUUAAACACUCAUGUGAGGGACAGAGGUGUAUUUUUAACUCAGCCAGAUAUUUUGCUCCCAGGGAGUUUAAAAAAAACCAUUAUAUUAAAAAGUUAUUUUAUUAACAAAGGGAAACAUGCAUUAUUGUCAUAAUACAUCUUAACUAUGGUGGGGGGGAAGGUGGGGAGGAGGAAGAAAAGCUCUAAAAGGGUAUCUUUGUUUCUUUUAAAAAGCUUUUUUAAAAAAUUUACUUACUUUUCAACGUACAGAUAGAUCAGGGUAUUCCUUUACAGCUCUUUAUUGUUUUGAUGGCAUAUCCUGUAUACUGAGAAAUUGAGGCAUUGAGAUAUUAAAGUUUAAAAUCACAGUUUCUCUAUGAAAAUGGCCAGUACCUGACCUUACUGUGUUGUUCACUUUACACUCCCUUUUGCAUGUUCAAAAUCCAGCUGUAGUGAAUUAAUUUGUCACUGAGGACUCAGCAUUUUCAUCAGUUAGGAUAAUUGUCCUUUCUUGCAUAUAUUGUGUGGCCACAAUGGUUUCUGCCCACAGCACAACAUCAGUCCUCAGAUCCUUCUUCUCUUCUUGUCCCACACCUAUUCAUUUUUAAUUAAAUGAAUUAACUGUCCAGUCCAUUUUCAGUUUCCCUCCUUUCCUCCUCAACAGUACCUAAUUCCAAUUUAUUUUUCACUCCUUCUCCUCUGUUUUUCCUGCCAUAUAAAUUUCUUGUCCUGAGCUGUUUCCAACAUUCUCAAGCCAGGUUUCUCUUUCUCAUGUGUGCAGCAAGUAUUUCCUCAUCUCCAAACAAGACUCAUUCGAGGAGAGGAGAAAGGAUGUAUACCAGGAAAGCACAGGAGAGUCAUUGCAUUCAGAGGGUAGCACAAACAGCCUCCUGGAGUGAAGGUCCAAGGACCCCCAGGAGGACCACGGGGGACAGGAGAAGUGCAGCAGGGUGGUGAAGCAGGAGCGAGGGGCUGUGGGCAGAACUCCUUGAAUCUGCUGAACUCAGCAGUGAAGCCACCCCUGAACCAGACAAGUGUCACAGCUAAGUGGGAUGAGUCUGGACCUGUGUGCCUCCUAGUCCUCAAUGUAUUUAUCCUACCAACGUUCCUGUGAAGGAAAGAGAUGCUAUAAUUCCUCCCUGACAUAUGGGCAACAGAAACAGUCACGCAGAGAGUUUGUGCUCAAGAAGGAAAUUGAGUCUCUGUCUCCUAGAUUGUAGCUGUUGAAUUGUUCCCUCUUAUGUUGUUAAAACUGAUUGCCUGCACAACAGACAAAGGUUUAAAAAACAAUAUUACUACUAAUUAGAUUCUGCUGCAUUCAUUUAGUUUAACACUGUAGAUUAUUUGUAUCUGUUUUUUAAUGCAUCUUUGUCAAGUCCAUUUUUAUUUGACAUAUCUCGAUUCCAUUAUGGCAUUAGGAAAAAAGGGAGACAGGAUCCCAACUUUUCUCCUGAUUAUUUCAACUCCCACUACACAGCAGAUGACUGAGAAAUCCUAAAGAUGAGUCAGAGGGUGAAACAGAAAGUGUAGAGAGAUUGUUUUAAAUUAAUGGGUGUGCUGAAAAAAUAUCUGACAAAAGAAAAAAAAUCCAAAAAAGAAAAAGGAAAAAAAAAUCACAUUGCUAGAUAAGUUGUGUUUAAUGGCUUUAAAGGCUUUCUAAGUCAGUAAAGAUAUCAGUGUAUCUCCAUGUCAAAGAGAAAACAAUUUGUUGGAAACAUAUUUUUCUUGAUUAAUUUUAGUAAAAGAUUGUAGAAACAAUUAAAUCACUUAAAUGUAAUGCAGGAGAAAUUUGCAUUGUAAGGUAUCACAACUCACUUUUAACUAUGCUGUUGCCUCUAGUGCAAGCUUAAAAUAAUAUUUAGCUGGGGAUCUGCAAGAGAAACCUAAAUGGCUCAGGAAAUAAGACCUCUUUCCUUUUCCACUUCAUGCCAAUUACCAAGUAGGGCUCUGCUGAGGCCAUGAAGGAUAUUUUCAUCUUGCAGAUGCCUUCUUUCAAAUGAGAUAUAAAAUCAAGUCCUGGCUACUGAUAGUUAUUGAAGUUCUCAGAGCCUGUCCUACCCAAAGUCCAAAAGGCAUAAUCACAGUUACUCUCCAUAUACUGAUCCUUCAUUAUCAGUCAAGGAGAAUCACAGAUCUAAAACUCUUCCUGGUUGCUGUCUGCUGUUAAACAGACACUGUUCUCCACAAUCUCUGUCCUUAUGGGACCACAAUUUUACACCUCAUCUGUGCAGGCCAUUGCACUGCACUUCUGGGCUGUUGGUUCAACACAGAGAACUAUGGAGGAGAUUUUCUAAGGGAUCUGACAGGUGAAAAACAUUUCAAGACAUGCCUUUUAGACAAUCAGAAAUAAUUGUAAAAAAUUUUAGCCCAGACUCAGAUACAUAUAACAGUGGAUAAGAGCUACUUAUAGUAAUGGGAAAUAGGGACAUAUGGUGUAGAUUGCCAAAAUGUUCUUUACCAGGAGAGUGCUUUUCAUCAGUGAGUACCUGGAAGAAUCUGCCAGAGGAUAGAAAGUGGCCAGGCAUAAAAACGUUCUGCUGCCAGCUGUGGGAGAAGUGGGGGAUUUUGUUGGCUAUGUAGUGUGAUGUUAUGAAGCAAAAUCUUGGAGAUCUUGCUCCCAGAUUAUUGCUUGUAGCAUGGCUUGAGAGGAAUCAUUUAGCCUACCUGGCCUCUGAGGAGAAUUGCUGUCCUGAGUUACUUUACAUGGAUGUUGGUUCCAAGCCUUCUUUCAGAACUGCCUUGUCACAUGCUGUGAGUUUUUGAAUUAUCCACUCCAAACAGGACAGGAGCACCUUUGCCUUUUCCUACCACUGCAUUCAAAGGAGUUUUGCUUGUGUGUGGGUUGAUAAAAUAAGCUGAUAAAAAGACUGGAUAACUAGAUUAGGGCAAAUAGGAUAUAACUGAUAAUGACAGUGAGUGAGAAGGCUGGCAACCAGGCAGAGAUAACAGGAUUUAUUGGGGAAAUCAAACGUGAAUUGAAAUGUUUUUUGGCAACCAAAUGAGUUAAAACAGUAAAACAAGGGACACCAAACUAGGCCUUCAGAAAAUCAAACUCCUGGGCCCAGUGUAACAAAAGAGAGGAGAAAGAGAACGAAUGCUUUUUAACAGAGAAAAAAUAAAGCAAUCAAACAAAAACCAACUCACACCUUAGCAGGGGAGCAGGAGGAUGAGAUGAAAUGAUGAAUGCUGAGCAGGAAAGAGAGUGGAGCAAAUCCUUUUGCUUGGGCUUGAGGCCAGGCUGUGGGAAACAGGUAAAUAACAUAUUGCCUAGACUUGAACUAGCCAUGCUUCAUUGUCUGCAUUUUUUCUUGACCACAGUCAGGCUGAAAGUAAGAGACGUGUAUGAGAAUAUUGUUCAUGUAUUUGUUUAAUGGGAAAUACAAAAAAAAAAAAAAUCAAGCUUCCUUCUUCACCUCUUUAUCUUGCAGGCUGCUGGAGUCCAUUGGUUAGGGAGCAAGAAUAGCUGAUUUCAGGUUCCUUAGCACACAGGGAAGAUGGCAGGCUGCAAUAUGUUCUUUGUAUGUUUGCCUUUUGUAGGUGGAGAAAUGUCUGUUUCCUUGUAGACUGUUUUACACAAAGGAGUACAGCUAGUUUUUUUUCUUUCAGAAGUGUAAUACAUGAUGUUGGCAUUGGUGUUGUAGUGAGAAUUAAUUAAGCAUAGGAUUAAGGUGAGUUAGAUUAGAAGGAAGUUCAAUCUUAUUAUUAAUCCAGCCAUAUUGUUAAGGAAAACAAAACAAAGCAAAACAAAACAAAACAAGAGAAAAAUCUAACAAUAAAUACUUCCUCACCCAUCAGAUUUCUCCAAGGUCUUCUUCAAGCUCAUGAGCUUUUUGGGUUUGGGCUUUCGUGGUUGAUUGUGUGGCCUUUUCCUGUUUUACCUGCUGGUCUAACAUAAUUUCCUCUGCUUCUAGUGCUACAGGGAAGACCACAAAUCUGGAAUCCAAAAUGAGCCACCACAUACUUUCAGAGGGAUGUUUUUCUAGGCUGGGGGUGGUGGACAUAGGAUCACAGUCAGGAGAUGAACAGUGAUAUUCCAAGUGUGAGUAUUUGAUCUUAAAAAAGAUAAUGGUUUUAUAUUGUUUCCUUGAAAGACUGUGUGUGGGGGAG